rnacentral:lncRNA from 1 species
UCUCAGUUACAAAUAAGAGACAUUUGCUAAUCAAAUGUUGUCAUACGCAGGACACAGAGAAGCUAGUAUUAGGGUUUACUGUUUGACUCUUAUUUUACAAGACUGUCAGCACUAUGUCUCCCCUCCCUUUAUUUUCAAAUAAUGUAUACAUAGCUUAAAGAUCACUUGUUUUGUAUCCACAUCAGGACAAAGCCUAAUGGUAUCCUUAAUACUUAGAAACGUAGUUGAAUUAAUGCUCAUAGCCAUUUUAAACUCAUCAAUACACAACUACAUUCACAAUAAGAUAUUUUCAACUUCCCAGAAUUCUCAUCAAUUUGGGCACUGAAAUUGGAUUCUAUGGAGGAUUAACACAUUUCAUAUUCGGUUAAGGAGAAUGGAGAUUUAACACUUUCCAUAUCAAAUCUCAGUAUUGUCCUCAUGCUUGACUAAGUUUAGACAGAUAAAUACAAAGAGAGCAGUAAAGAAAGGCAUCACCAGAAGACAUCCUGAUAAAGAGCUGCCUGCCUGCCCUGUGACAAGCCUCCAGGUGAGCCGGGCUGCCAGUGGUAACUGCGGGUUCCGAAUGGGACGCUAGGGGGCGUGUUGCUCCGGGCGGACUGCACAGGUUCCCGUGAGGAGCCGGUGACCAAGGAGGAGUAGAGGACAUGGGACCUCACUUGAGAAAAUAAGCAACAGCACUUACUACAAAGAAGCUUUGCUUUUGCGAAUUCACGCCACGAAGUAGCAAAACUAUUCAAUGAUCCCCCAUCCCAUGAGCAACACGGCCACCUACAUGAGGAGCUAAGCCAUGCGGGAGGCACAGCAAAUCUGUCUAUUCUCAUCAUAGGAUGGCAAAAGAUUAGGAAAUAUGUAUCAAGUUAUGUAGGAUGACCUCAAGAAAUGGCAAUGAAUAAAAAAAAAAUUGUGAGAAAUCUCAAAACCUUGGCCGGCAAGAUGGCUCAGUGUCUACAAACAAUUGCUGCUCAAGUCUGAUGGCCUGAGAUGGGGGCCCCAGAGCUCACGGAAACACCAAAGAGGAGGCAGACAUCUAUAAUCAAGCACUGCUAUAGGAAGAUCGGAGACAGGGACAGGAGAAUCAUCCAGAAGGUCGUGGGCCAGCCUGGAGUCCAUGAACUGGCAGAAACAAGAGAGACCCUACUUCAAAAGGAGCUAGAGGAGAAAGCCAACUCUCAAAGGCUACCCUCUGACCUCCACAUGUGCAUGCUGUGCGACACAUGCACCAGGAAAAAAAAUAUGUGUGGGCACGUAUUCGUGCACACAGACAUAGACACACACAGACAC